rnacentral:rRNA from 1 species
AUUGAACGCUAGCGGGAUGCCUUACACAUGCAAGUCGAACGGAGUGGCGAACGGGUGAGUAAUGUAUCGGAACGUGCCCAGUAGCGGGGGAUAACUACGCGAAAGCGUAGCUAAUACCGCAUACUCUUGGAGCGGCCGAUACGGGAUUCGCUAGUUGGUGGGGUAACGGAUCACCAAGGCGACGAUCCGUAGCUGGUUUGAGAGGACGACCAGCCACACUGGGAAUGAGACACGGCCCAGACUCCGACGGUAGGCAGCAUUGGGGAAUUUUGGACAAUGGGGGAAACCCUGAUCCAGCCAUGCCGCGUGUGCGAUGAAGGCAUUCGGGUUGUAAAGCACUUUUGGCAGGAAAGCGGUACCUGCAGAAUAAGCACCGGCUAACUACGGGCCAGCAGCCGCGGUAAUUC